rnacentral:rRNA from 1 species
CAGGAUUAGAUACCCUGGUAGUCCACGCCGUAAACGAUGUCGACUUGGAGGUCGUGCCCUUGAGGCGUGGCUUCCGGAGCUAACGCGUUAAGUCGACCGCCUGGGGAGUACGGCCGCAAGGUUAAAACUCAAAUGAAUUGACGGGGGCCCGCACAAGCGGUGGAGCAUGUGGUUUAAUUCGAUGCAACGCGAAGAACCUUACCUGGUCUUGACAUCCACAGAACUUUCCAGAGAUGAGAAUGUGCCUUCGGGAACCGUGAGACAGGUGCUGCAUGGCUGUCGUCAGCUCGUGUUGUGAAAUGUUGGGUUAAGUCCCGCAACGAGCGCAACCCUUAUCCUUUGUUGCCAGCGGUCCGGCCGGGAACUCAAAGGAGACUGCCAGUGAUAAACUGGAGGAAGGUGGGGAUGACGUCAAGUCAUCAUGGCCCUUACGACCAGGGCUACACACGUGCUACAAUGGCGCAUACAAAGAGAAGCGACCUCGCGAGAGCAAGGGGACCUCAUAAAGUGCGUCGUAGUCCGGAUUGGAGUCUGCAACUCGACUCCAUGAAGUCGGAAUCGCUAGUAAUCGUGGAUCAGAAUGCCACGGUGAAUACGUUCCCGGGCCUUGUACACACCGCCCGUCACACCAUGGGAGUGGGUUGCAAAAGAAGUAGGUAGCUUAACCUUCGGGAGGGCGCUUACCACUUUGUGAUUCAUGACUGGGGUGAAGUCGUAACAAGGUAACC